GCGCAGAUUCGGUUCAUCGCUGCUCGAAAGAGGGGAGGAAAGUCCGAGCAACACAGAGCACCACACAAGUUAACGGCUUGAUAUUCGAGAGGGUAUAGUAGCGUAACAGAGAAUAACCGCCCGAAAGGGUAAGGGUGAAAAGGUGGGGUAAGAGCCCACCGCGGGGGCAGUGAUGUCAUCCGGCAGUACGUCUUGUGGGUUGCAAGGUUAUGUAUAUCGGCAAUUAAGGGUUGCUCGCCCGAUGCCGAGGGGUAAACCGCUAGAGGCGACAGGUGACUGCCGUCGUAGAUAAAUGAUGAACUGGGGGGCUUAUGCCUCUGACACAGAACUCGGCUUACAGAAUCUGCUAUUAC
rnacentral:RNase_P_RNA from 1 species